GAUGAACGCUGGCGGCGUGCCUAAUACAUGCAAGUCGAGCGAACAGACGAGGAGCUUGCUCCUCUGACGUUAGCGGCGGACGGGUGAGUAACACGUGGAUAACCUACCUAUAAGACUGGGAUAACUUCGGGAAACCGGAGCUAAUACCGGAUAAUAUAUUGAACCGCAUGGUUCAAUAGUGAAAGACGGUUUUGCUGUCACUUAUAGAUGGAUCCGCGCCGCAUUAGCUAGUUGGCAAGGUAACGGCUUACCAAGGCAACGAUGCGUAGCCGACCUGAGAGGGUGAUCGGCCACACUGGAACUGAGACACGGUCCAGACUCCUACGGGAGGCAGCAGUAGGGAAUCUUCCGCAAUGGGCGAAAGCCUGACGGAGCAACGCCGCGUGAGUGAUGAAGGUCUUCGGAUCGUAAAACUCUGUUAUUGGGGAAGAACAAAUGUGUAAGUAACUAUGCACGUCUUGACGGUACCUAAUCAGAAAGCCACGGCUAACUACGUG
rnacentral:rRNA from 1 species